rnacentral:rRNA from 1 species
UACGAAGGGGGCUAGCGUUGUUCGGAAUCACUGGGCGUAAAGGGUGCGUAGGCGGGUCUUUAAGUCAGGGGUGAAAUCCUGGAGCUCAACUCCAGAACUGCCUUUGAUACUGAGGAUCUUGAGUACGGGAGAGGUGAGUGGAACUGCGAGUGUAGAGGUGAAAUUCGUAGAUAUUCGCAAAGAACACCAGUGGCGAAGGCGGCUCACUGGCCCGAUACUGACGCUGAGGCACGAAAGCGUGGGGAGCAAACAGG